UUCUUCUUUCUCCUCCUUUCUCACUUUGUUUUUCUUUUCCAUUUCUUCUCCUCUCUCAAUUCUUCCCCAAAUCUCUUAGAACCCUAACUCCAAACUCAGGGCAACAAGGAUAGCAGGUCGGCAACGAGGAUGGCAGGUCGGCAACAAGGACGAGGACGAGUAUGGCUUCCAUCUUUGUCCUCUCAUUUUUUCUCCAAACCCAUAUCUUAGAACCCUAGCCCCAAAUUAAACUCACGGCAACAAGGACGGUAAAUCGGCAACGAGGAAGGCAACGAGUAUGGCUUCUCCAGGUAAUCCUUAUUUCUUUGUUGCAUUUUACUUAUUCUUCUUUUUUUUUGGGUUCGUUGGAACUCUGCUUUGGGUAGACUCUUCGCUGGCCGAUAGUGUACUUGGGUAGACACUGCGUAGAUCUUGAUAGCAGACUUGGGGCAAACAUAAUUUUUAUGGAUGUUAGAUAUAUAGUAAUUUCCCGAUGAAACUUCCAGCUGAUAACAGGCUAGUUGUAAGAAGAAGAUGCAAGUAGUCAAAAGAGAAGCUUUCACUGUUGUGUUACAUUACUGAGAAUUUUGAACUAAGGUGAGAAGAAAAUUGUACGGGAUUCAAAAUUUGAAAUUGUCCUCACACAUACAACUAGAAUUCUACUAUCUGAUCCCGAAGACUAAGGAUUCUGGCUGUGUACGUCCCGUUUUGAGAGAGUAUUUUCAAUUAAUAAAAUGAUCUUUUACUUGAUUUUGGCUUGAUUUGAUGUUUUUAUGAAGUCAUUGGAAUCUGAAAAGGGCAUAAGUAGAUACUCGGAUGAUCAUUUCACAAAUCUGGAUAUAAUGCCUUCUUGAAAUGACUGUGGUAUAAUUAUGUAAUCCUCCUUUUGGAUUAAGCAUUUAGCAGAUAUAGGUCUAAAGCAAAAGCAUCAGGAACCAAAAAAUAUUAAUUUGGGUACAGAAAUUAAAAAAUAUAUCCAAAAAAAAUUAGAGACGGAAAAUUUGAAAGUUUAGAGGCCGAAUUAGAGACGGAUUAGAGACGGGAAUUUGUAAUGUUUAGAGACAGAUUAGAGACGGAACAUUUUCUGUGUUUUAGAGACGGAAUUAGAGAUGGAAGAUAACAAACAAAUACUUUAGCUUUAGAGACGGAUUAGAGACGGAAAGUUCUUUUAUUUAUCGACGGAAUCAGAGACGGAUUGCCUACGGAAAUCAGAGAUGGAUUACACUAAACUUUCUUCUUCUUUGUCGACGGAAUUAGCUACGGAAUUUUCCAUCUCAGAAUUAGAGACGGAAUGUUUUCGUUGCUGAUAAUUUAGCCACGGGGAUUUCAGCCACGGACUUCGGCGACGGAUUUUUCCGUCCUAAUUUGCUUUAGAGAUGGAAAUCCUACUUUUAGAGACGAAAAUUUCCGUCUUUGGUACCCUGUUUUCUAGUAGUGAUUACUACUUUAACCAUACUGAUUUUUUUAUUAAAAAAAUAUAUGAAAAAUUAAAAAAAAUUAAGUUUACAGGUAAAGUAAAUAAUCCAUAGGGCAUAUUGGUUCAUUAUAAAAUAUUUUUAGAGAAAAUCUAAAAAUUAUGAGUAUGGAUGUCUUUUCCAUCACAUCUGUUGUAGGUAUUGCAGUAUACACAAAACAGGUUAUUGAUAAUAUUUUAUUAAAAAUUAUAUCAAAAAUUUGUUGCUUAAAUUUAUUAUUUUGAUUCUUUCUCUCUUGAAGAAAAAUGAGAGAAAUUGGUGCAUUGGACCAAAAUUUGAAAAAGACAACAAAAUAGGAAAAAACGGUUAGUUUUUCCCCUCCAAACAAAAAUUCCAUCAACUUUAACGGUUUUACUAAGGGAAGGACCAAAAAAUACUAAAAAAAUAAUAAUUUUAGGAUCAAAACUGCAAUCUCAAGUUAUUUGAGGAUCAAAAGCGCAUAAGUGGCAAUGUUUGAGGAUCAAAAUCACAAUUAUCCAUCACAGUAGUUAUAAAAUUAUCGUUACUAAUAUUUUAUAAGAUUUAUAAAACUAUUUCAUCCAAAUAUUUCUAGAACAUAUAUAAAAAUAAUAUUUAAUAUCUAUAAAUUUAAAGUAUCUUAGAAGAUGUACGAACUUAUUUAGUAUUAAUUUUAGUAGGUAGGGCACACACAACUGGUAUGCAAAAUAAUGGCGAAGAUUUACAAGAUUAUAGGUAGAGGAUAUUAAUGGAGAAAUAUAAUAAAAAUUUGUGAUAUUUUAGGAAUUCCAUAUUUGGCACACCAAAUUGAUGUUGAUAGAUUAUUAAGAGUGUAUCAAUGAUGUCUUAACCUAGUAUUAGGCUAAAAUUAAGGUCUUAUGAGCAUGUUCAAAGUCAAGGGUUUGAGCUCCAGUGGACUGUAGGCUUUUGUCUCUUUUUAUGUGAAUGUCUCACUUUAUGUGUGUUAUUGAGUUAAUUCAAUUUUAUUGCCGUUCUUAGGCAUAUUAAUGGGGCAAAAUGUUAUUUUGGGAGAUAAUUGCACUCUUGGUCCCACAUGAUAGACCUCUUCUCAGUUUUGAUCUCGAACUUUACAAGAUCAAUUUAGACCACAAGACCUUAAAUUUUUUUAUGUUAGUCCCACACAAUUAAUUUUUAAUGAAAACGGACAGUCAUGUGCCGUUGGUCAGUCAGACGGUAAAGGUAAAGGUAGAAAAGGGGGCUCUUUAGCUAACUUCUUAAAUGUACACUUCGAUAAAAAGAAAAAAGCCAGUCUCCUUCUCCCCUUUUUUCCCCCAUUCCAAACCCUAAUCCCACCCUUUUUCCCAUUCGGUUGUAUGAAAAAUUGGUAACAAGGGUAGAAGGUGAAAUCUUUGUGAAGAAUUGUUGAUGAUGAGUCUCUGGCAAGGUGGGGCGGAAAGUUAGAAUGAAGGGGUGGGUGAAGAGGAGAGUGAUAAGUUAUUUGACUCUGGGUUGGAGGACUCUGAAUAUGAAAUAGAUGGUGAUGAUACAGAACAAGAACAGGAUGAUCAGGUAGAGCAGGGUGUUGAGGAGAAUGGUGAGGAGAGUGGUGAUGAUAGUCAUGGGGAUGAGGCAUCUGUUUAUGAGGAAGUAACAAUAGAGUCAGAUGUUUGCUUCAGUGAUGAUGAGUUUGACUCUAUUGUUGGUUCGAUGAGGAAGAUAAAGGGUCUCAUCUUGUUUACAACCCUAAAAGUAAAUAUAAUCUUCACUCUGAAAUUGGGAUGACAUUCAGUGACAAGGUUGAAUUGAGGCAGGUAGUCCAGAAUCCAUGCUAUAAGCACAAAGAGAAGUUUGAUAAUAAUGAAACAUGAUAAAAGAAGGGUUUAUGUAAAAUGCUUGGGCGAUGGGUGUCAAUGGAGGUUGAAUGCACUUAAGCUUGGAGAUGAGAGUACAUUCCAAAUUAGGGAAUACAACCCAUAACACAAAUAGGCCAGAUCAUUCUAUGUGAAAAAUGUGAAUAACAUAUGGUUGUCUGCCAAAUAUGAGGAUGCCUUCAGAACAUAUCCUAAAGGAAUGUCAAGGGGUUCGGAAAAGAUGCAAUUAAGAAAAUUAGAUGUCAUGUUUAAAAAAAUCAAGCAUACAGAGCAAAGAAAAAGGCCCUAAAUGCAAUUCAAGGAAAAAUUGAAGUACCAAUUAAGUAUGAUGAUGUGCAUUAUGAAAUAUCAUGCUAUGAUGGUGUAGGUAUGUGGUCAAUUUGCAAAACAAAACUUGCACAUGCAGAAAAUGGGGCUUUACAGGCAUUCCCUGUAAGCAUGGAAUGAGUGCCAUAUGCAGUUAAUACUUAACCCCAGAAUACUUUGUCAAUACAUGGUACAAUCUGACCACUUUUAUUGAGGUAUAUAAGCAUGCUAUAUUGCUUGUCAAUGGCCUAAAACUAUGGAAAAAGACUGGAAUGAUCCCACCCUUUGCACCCAACUUUGGAAGGAGUGUAGGAAGGCCUACAAGAGCAAGGAGGUUAGAUCCUGAUGAGCCAUUCAACAAGGGCAAAAAGAGGACUAGAGACCAGCAGAAUCACACCAUCAGAUUGAAGAGGCAACCAAAUAUAGUCAUGUAUCAUUACAGUGGAAUGAUAGGCUAUAAUAAAAAAGGAUAUCCAAGGAAGAAAAUGGACUUCCCUGCUGAGCCAAAUACUGUAGUACAACCCACCAAAUUGACAAGGAUAGGAAAACAACAAGAAAUCCAUGCCAUAAUCCCACAGUGAACAAGUUCAUGCAAAUCCUUCUAUAAGUUCAUGAAUACUGACAAGAUCUAAGUUUAUUAAGUCAGCAUCCCAAACUACUACCCAGCAAUAACUACUACCCUUGCCCAUCCCUACCCUAUUUGUUAAAUUUUCUUCCCUUUAUCACUCACAUGUGCCCUGCCCCUUCCUCAAUCACAACAUUUUUCCCCUUAUCCCUCAAAAUCGACACAAGUUCUUCUUCCCCAGUCACAAGUUUUUUUUUCCUCUUAAUUCAAGCAAUCUUUGAGGUCCUAACAUUGUCAAGAUGUGUCUUAACCUACUGACUCCAACCAAGCAGGCCGAAGAGGCAUUACCACCAUUCUUGCAACCUACCUCCAAAAUGAAGCUUGGCUAUGUCAGAUUAUCUAACUAAGUAAGAAAACAUAGAAAGUUUUGGCUGAAUUGAUUGAUUUGAAUCUAGGUUUGGUUUGUAAGCUGAUAGUAUGAAAUAGAACUUUUUUAUUAGUAAGAUCAAAAGGGGUCCAACAUCACAUGACUCAACAGAUGGUAAUGGGAGUUAACAGGCACGUGCGAGGCACAUGUUUCUUGCGUUAACUUGGAACUACAAAGGCUUGAUUUUGAUUUUUAUGGGACUAAAAUCAGCACUGGCCACAAUCUAGUACAAAAAUAAAGCUGACCUUGUUUUAUGGGACUAAAAAAGUAUUUUGUGAAUGUUAAUAUAUUGAUUGAAUCAAUGUAAUUUAUUAGUGUUUGUAGUCAUAUUGAUGAAUUGAUUGAAUUGACGUAUUAUUCAAAAAAAAAAUAUUAAGGGUAUAAGAAUAUUUUAAAAGUUCCUCAUUUUGACACACUAAAUUAAUCAUUCCAGAUGGCUUAGGUUUGUCUCUAAUUAAAUUUUAGGAUAAAUUACAAUAGUUUUUUUUCUUAAAUUUAUCUUAAUUUCAAAUACUCCCUAAUUAUUUGGUAAAUUACUAAUUCCAUUUGAUUUUAAGGACAUCAAACAACUAGUCCUAUUCAUUAGUUUACGUUAGAUUUUCAUUCAUUUUUUAUGAGGAACAUAUCACAAUAUCCUUACAUAUGGUCUAUAAACUGUAAUUGUAUUUCUUUAUUAAAUUUUUUCAUGAACUAAGUGGGCAAUUUUGACAAAUUUUUCCAUUCACCUAAUUCAAUUUUUUUUUACAAUAUUUAAUUUCUCUUUCUUUAAAGAAAUACAACAAAGGUUAAAAAUUACAUAAUCUAAUAAAAUAUUAUGAAAUGUUGACAAUAUUUUAAAUAUAUAUAUAUAUUUAUAAUAGUUGUAAUUUAUCUUAAAAUUUACUCUAACCCUUUGAUUUUUCUGCGAGCCCCAACACGAAACACGCAUAUUAGAUACACGGGCAUGACAUAUAUAUAUAUAUAUAUAUAUAUAUAUAUAUACACACACACAC